UACAGAGACUGCAAGCGUUAUUCGGAUUUACUGGGCGUAAAGAGCGCGCAGGCGGUCGUUCAAGUCGAGUGUGAAAGCCCCCGGCUCAACUGGGGAGGGUCACUCGAUACUGAUCGACUCGAAGGCAGAAGAGGGAAGCGGAAUUCCCGGUGUAGUGGUGAAAUGCGUAGAUAUCGGGAGGAACACCAGUGGCGAAGGCGGCUUUCUGGUCUGCUCUUGACGCUGAGGCGCGAAAGCUAGGGUAGCAAACGGG
rnacentral:rRNA from 1 species